AGAGUUUGAUCCUGGCUCAGGACGAACGCUGGCGGCGUGCCUAAUACAUGCAAGUAGAACGCUGAAGAGAGGAGCUUGCUCUUCUUGGAUGAGUUGCGAACGGGUGAGUAACGCGUAGGUAACCUGCCUUGUAGCGGGGGAUAACUAUUGGAAACGAUAGCUAAUACCGCAUAACAAUGGAUGACCCAUGUCAUUUAUUUGAAAGGGGCAAAUGCUCCACUACAAGAUGGACCUGCGUUGUAUUAGCUAGUAGGUGAGGUAACGGCUCACCUAGGCGACGAUACAUAGCCGACCUGAGAGGGUGAUCGGCCACACUGGGACUGAGACACGGCCCAGACUCCUACGGGAGGCAGCAGUAGGGAAUCUUCGGCAAUGGGGGCAACCCUGACCGAGCAACGCCGCGUGAGUGAAGAAGGUUUUCGGAUCGUAAAGCUCUGUUGUAAGUCAAGAACGAGUGUGAGAGUGGAAAGUUCACACUGUGACGGUAGCUUACCAGAAAGGGACGGCUAACUACGUGCCAGCAGCCGCGGUAAUACGUAGGUCCCGAGCGUUGUCCGGAUUUAUUGGGCGUAAAGCGAGCGCAUGCGGUUUGAUAAGUCUGAAGUUAAAGGCUGUGGCUCAACCAUAGUUCGCUUUGGAAACUGUCAAACUUGAGUGCAGAAGGGGAGAGUGGAAUUCCAUGUGUAGCGGUGAAAUGCGUAGAUAUAUGGAGGAACACCGGUGGCGAAAGCGGCUCUCUGGUCUGUAACUGACGCUGAGGCUCGAAAGCGUGGGGAGCGAACAGGAUUAGAUACCCUGGUAGUCCACGCCGUAAACGAUGAGUGCUAGGUGUUGGAUCCUUUCCGGGAUUCAGUGCCGCAGCUAACGCAUUAAGCACUCCGCCUGGGGAGUACGACCGCAAGGUUGAAACUCAAAGGAAUUGACGGGGGCCCGCACAAGCGGUGGAGCAUGUGGUUUAAUUCGAAGCAACGCGAAGAACCUUACCAGGUCUUGACAUCCCGAUGCUAUUUCUAGAGAUAGAAAGUUACUUCGGUACAUCGGUGACAGGUGGUGCAUGGUUGUCGUCAGCUCGUGUCGUGAGAUGUUGGGUUAAGUCCCGCAACGAGCGCAACCCCUAUUGUUAGUUGCCAUCAUUCAGUUGAGCACUCUAGCGAGACUGCCGGUAAUAAACCGGAGGAAGGUGGGGAUGACGUCAAAUCAUCAUGCCCCUUAUGACCUGGGCUACACACGUGCUACAAUGGUUGGUACAACGAGUUGCGAGUCGGUGACGGCAAGCUAAUCUCUUAAAGCCAAUCUCAGUUCGGAUUGUAGGCUGCAACUCGCCUACAUGAAGUCGGAAUCGCUAGUAAUCGCGGAUCAGCACGCCGCGGUGAAUACGUUCCCGGGCCUUGUACACACCGCCCGUCACACCACGAGAGUUUGUAACACCCGAAGUCGGUGAGGUAACCUUUUGGAGCCAGCCGCCUAAGGUGGGAUAGAUGAUUGGGGUGAAGUCGUAACAAGGUA
rnacentral:rRNA from 1 species